UGAGCUAUGAUUGCACCACUGUACUCCUGC
rnacentral:piRNA from 1 species